UGCAGACAAGCGCAGGGUUUGUAGAGGUCACCGGCAACGGUGGCAGCCCGAAUGGGUGGGAUCCUCGAACCUGGGGUCUGCAUGAGU
rnacentral:ncRNA from 1 species